GACGAACGCUGGCGGCGCGCCUAACACAUGCAAGUCGAACGAGCGAGAGAGAGCUUGCUUUCUCGAGCGAGUGGCGAACGGGUGAGUAACGCGUGAGGAACCUGCCUCAAAGAGGGGGACAACAGUUGGAAACGACUGCUAAUACCGCAUAAGCCCACAGGUCGGCAUCGACCAGAGGGAAAAGGAGCAAUCCGCUUUGAGAUGGCCUCGCGUCCGAUUAGCUAGUUGGUGAGGUAACGGCCCACCAAGGCGACGAUCGGUAGCCGGACUGAGAGGUUGAACGGCCACAUUGGGACUGAGACACGGCCCAGACUCCUACGGGAGGCAGCAGUGGGGAAUAUUGCACAAUGGGGGAAACCCUGAUGCAGCGACGCCGCGUGGAGGAAGAAGGUCUUCGGAUUGUAAACUCCUGUUGUUGAGGAAGAUAAUGACGGUACUCAACAAGGAAGUGACGGCUAACUACGUGCCAGCAGCCGCGGUAAAACGUAGGUCACAAGCGUUGUCCGGAAUUACUGGGUGUAAAGGGAGCGCAGGCGGGAAGACAAGUUGGAAGUGAAAUCUAUGGGCUCAACCCAUAAACUGCUUUCAAAACUGUUUUUCUUGAGUAGUGCAGAGGUAGGCGGAAUUCCCGGUGUAGCGGUGGAAUGCGUAGAUAUCGGGAGGAACACCAGUGGCGGAGGCGGCCUACUGGGCACCAACUGACGCUGAGGCUCGAAAGGGUGGGUAGCAAACAGG
rnacentral:rRNA from 1 species